GCUCUGUUACCUCCUGAAGAAGGAGGGUCUUGAAUGGAUAGGUAUUGAUGGGAUGGGGAGAAUCCUUUCCUGCUUUCCCCUAAGUGAACUGUCACACUCAGGGUGGGGAAGAGGAGGAUUAGGUUGUCUGAAGUUGGAUGGGUAGAUGCUGAUGUGAAUAUUGCAUUCACACUUCUACUUCAGGUACCAGCCAGACAAAGAAAUGAAGUUGGAAAUCACGGAGACAAAGCCUGAAUUUGAAAUAAGUUCUUUUGAAUCUGUACUGGAAUCAGGAACCUCAAAGACUCUCAGAAGUCUGUGUAUCACUGUGAACACCAGUCCCACUCGGAAAUCUGGCCAGGUGGUCUAUGGAUGUGCCUUGCUGCUGGCUCUCCUGCUGACCAUCCUGUGCCUGAUACUGGCCCAGUGGCCCAGCCGUCUGGUGGCUGGAGACCCAGGGUUCACAACAGUGACGGGGCUGCUGCUGCUACUCAUUCUGGGGAUCACCUUCAUAAUUUGGAGACAGCCCCAGAACCCAACUCCUCUUCACUUCAAGGUAGGUGACUAUGCCCCAAAACUGUCUACCUUGAGAGAAUGAACUCUGCAUACUUUGAUGGACCAGGGAAGACAAGGGGAGUCACUAAAACCAAUGGGCCAUCCCAAGCCACACUCUACUUGGUAACAUCCAUCAGGAUACCCCUGUAUGAGUAGGCUCUGAAUGCACAGCCCAGAUAGGACCAGAGCCUUCCUUCCCACCCAGUGGGGCAGAGGGUCUCCCUUCCAGCAUCUGUAGUUUGUUCAUGGAUAUACUGACUUUGCCCGCAGGUUCCUGCUUUGCCUGUUCUCCCACUGCUCAGCAUCUUUGUGAAUAUUUACUUGAUGAUGCAGAUGACCCCUACGACCUGGGCCCAGUUUGGCAUUUGGAUGGUGAUUGGCUUUGCCAUAUACUUUGGAUAUGGGAUCCGACACAGCAUGGAGAAGACCAGUGAUCAAUAGCCACCAGCCUCGAGCUCCCAAUAUCUCUAGUAUGAAUUAGUAUAACCACGGGAAACAGAUGUACAGAUCCUCCAUACACUGGAGGCAUCUUCUUGUUCAAUGGUGGCUUUGAGCCUCUAUGGAAUCUGAAGGUGGGAUGCAUUUAAAUGCAGUUAGAACUCUGGACUUGUUGCCGGAAAAUGCCUUUAAUAGGGUAUCAUUUUAAAGUAAACUUUUAAAAGCAUACUUUACUUACAGAAAAGGUGCAUACUUUUUAAGUGUGGAGAAAGAUGACCUUUCACAAAGUACAACAGGUGACCAACUGGCAACAAGAAGAAGAAAUAAACUGUUACCUGCACAUAAGAAGUACUCUCUUACUUGGGGUGGUGAACACACAAUACAAUAUUCAGAGAAUGC